GCUGUUGUCCGAGUUCUUCCACGGACCCUGGACACGAUGCUCCUCCGUGGGCCUCGGCACCUGACAGGCCGAAGGGGCGGGGUCCCGUGGGGGUCCCUGUCGUCCCCCACGGCGCAGCUGUUCAGGUGCAAAUGCAGGGUCGGCGGCUGGAACCCACGGAGGCGGGCAACACAGCUCGACAUUCGUGGUUUCCCAGAAACCGUGACAACCCAGAGAGUAUUUAGUUCCAAAACUCCGGGACGUAGGUAUUUCUAUUUACACAUUGCCCAGGCAAGCCCCCGGGGACUGGAUGAGUGGCCGGCACAGCCCGGGUCCCCGGCUGCACCCUGGGGCGGGAUCUGAGCGCGGUGCCUGACCUCUUGCACAGGCGAGCACGUCCGUGACACAGGCGAGUGUGAAGCGUGACACAGGGACACGUGCGGUGCUUCCCAACGGCCGGGAUUCCUGCUUCCGUGUUCUACUAGCUCUGAGGGGGAGUCUUCGGCCACAGGCCCCUCCCUUGCUCGGAAAUCUGCAGCCCCCUGGCCAGGCGGGAACGUGCCCUAAAGAAGCCAACGAACCGAACCCUGAAUCCUUAGCCACACGGAUGUCUGCUGCUUUGCUCUGAAAAUUUAGAGAAGAGACAAGGGCCCCCCGAUCCGGCAUUUGGGUAGAGAAGGGACAGUGGACUCACGAAAUAGUGCUCCCUUGCCUAGUGCUGUGCGUACACGUCGGAACGGCCUUUAAUAGAAGCCUGUGGGGGCACCCGUGCUUCAGAAUUUUAUCUGCGCAGACCUGAGCCAGCAGCCGGCUGCGGGCAUGCGCCUGGGGGGUCCCCCCCAAUGUACUGAGACACCCAGCAUUAUCAUCUACGGCGUUCGGCAGCUCUCGGGGCCAUCGGCGCAUGCGCUGUGUCUGGCUGAGUCCCGUACGUGACCGUGUGGGAGCCCCUGUGUGCGCACAAGGACAGGGCGUGCCCCUCGGACCGAUUCGGUCUUCCCUGAACUGCAGACCAGGAAAUGGUGGCACAGGACCCUUCCACCAGCGCCAGACAGGCCGCGGCCAGAGCCACCCGGGGCCCUCGGGAUUCCGCAGCCGGCGUGCCACGUAAGUGACACUCUGCACAGGUGCCUUGGGCGGAGGUCAGAGGUGGCUCUGGGUCUGGGCCUGAGUGGGGAUGUUUCUCAGUCGCCGAGAACCAGCAGGACGCGUGACCGGGGACGGGGUGGGGACAGCCCAGCGCCAGCCCAGGGAUCACGCAGACUCCGGCCAGGUGACUCCUCCCCCCAGGCCCACGGAGCUGCGCCCCACCCCCGCCCCCUGGGGCUUUCUUCUUUGGCCCAAUUCUAUUUCCAACAGUUCUUUUUCUUCUCAGGUUUCUGACCCGUUUCCCUGUUUUAACGCCCACUUGGCCUCCUCCUGCCUGUUUCUGAGCCACCGCCACCCUCUCUGUCCGUCAUCCAUCACUCGUGUUCUCUUGGCCCCCAACUGGACGCGACGCUCUCAAAGUCUGUUCCCAGCUGUUGGGGCAAGACCUCCCUUCCCCGCCUUCCUGGGUCCUGGUCCCCCCCCCCCCCCCCCCCGCCCGCUUCUCAGUCUACUCCUUUGUUCUGUCCUCGCGGCUACUGGCCGGCUGUGUAGGGCGUUCUAGGUGGGAAGGUGCCCCCACUCGGACUCUGGGCCAUCACACCUCUGUCCUCGGACAUCGAGUGGCUGACGACAUGCCUGCCGGGCACCUCGUGGCGGGGGGCGCUGUGGUGCGGGCCCUCCAGGGCCUGGGGUGGGGGCAGGACUUACAUGCGACUUCUCCAAGGCCAGGUUCAGUCACAAGACAGCCAAGUGACAGGCUGGACAGGGCUCUCGGUGCCGUAAAACUCAUCUCACCUGGAGAUUCCUCCAGAGUUUCCUGCUUUGGAAUUGGUUUCUUUUUCUUUCUUUUUUUUUUUUUUUUUUUUUUUUUAUUGCUUUCUGGAAUAAACCUCCUGUGUUCCCAGAAGCAGGUCGGGCACCUGGCGACGGCAGUGACUCCCUUAGAAAGAUCCACGGCUGCGGACGGUCGGCGUGGUGCGGGCGGCCCAGGUAGUGACACAAUCCUCCGUCCAGCAAGCCUGCCUGUGACGUCCAGAUUGUGAACGUGUGCGACAACCAACGACUGUCCGGAACUCGCAGCCAUUAGGAAGGAGCCCCCGAAGUCCCGAGCCGUUGUCAGAAGCAGGACACACGCUUGUCCCGAGUCUGUGUGCCCACAGCACAAACAAGGCCGUGAACACGCACCGAAUGGGUGUCCCAAAGGGAACAUGGUCCCCAGAGACGCAACAUGACAGCAGACAUGAUGCAGCUUGGCUGGUGCCGAGGUUCUUGAAGCCUGGCUCCUGGGGUUUCACCCUGAGGACAGGAAGAAUCCCUAAAAUUCAAAACUUCUAAAUAGCCAAAAGAUAAUAAAAGGGUCUAUAUACCGUUAACAUGAGUUACGGACCAGGGGCACCAUUGUGCAUGUGUGUGACUAACAGAAGUUAUACGGGUUUUUUUGGUGUUUUAGAUACAGAAACCUUUGCAUAAAUACACACACACACAUCCACACACACACACAUUUUCCCAUGUGAGCUGCUUUUGAAUUGUCUGCUUUUCAUUAGGGUUUCCUACUGUUUUCUUCAUUUUUUUCAGAUUUCGAUAAUCUCUUGUCAUUUUAGACGUUGUACAAAUUCUCUUCCGUGAUGCUUGGUCUGUGUAACUUCGACAGCCAACUGGCCAGAAGGCUCUGGAGAGCCAGUAUUGCCUGCUUCCACUCAGGACAGUAGAGUGACAGAGUUAGCCCCGUCUAGAAUUAAAGUGGUGCCUGGGUGGCUCAGUCAGCUGAGCGUCGGUGGCUCAGUCUUGAUUUCAGCUCAGGUCAUGAUCUCUUGGUUCGUGGGAUCGAGCCCUGCAUCCGGCUCUGUGCUGACAGCACAGAGCCUGCUUGGGAUUCUGUCUCUCUCUCUCUCUCAAAAUAAUAAAUAAACAUUUAAAAAACUUUUUAAAAAUAGAGCUUCAUUUUUAUUUUAGCACACGAAUGUUGCCUCUAUUCUAUGAUACGUUCGUUUCUGUAAGAAGAGAGGUUACCUGUUGUCUUUUUUUUUUUUUUGAUGUUUUAUUUAUUUUUGAGAGCAAGAGAGAC